rnacentral:rRNA from 1 species
UUCCAGACUCCUACGGGAGGCAGCAGUGAGGAAUAUUGGUCAAUGGACGAGAGUCUGAACCAGCCAAGUAGCGUGAAGGAUGACUGCCCUAUGGGUUGUAAACUUCUUUUAUAUGGGAAUAAAACAGGGUAUGCAUACCCUCUUGUAUGUACCAUAUGAAUAAGGAUCGGCUAACUCCGUGCCAGCAGCCGCGGUAAUACGGAGGAUCCGAGCGUUAUCCGGAUUUAUUGGGUUUAAAGGGUGCGUAGGCGGAAUGCCAAGUCGGGGGUAAAAUUGCGGGGCUAAACCUCGUCGAGCCGUUGAAACUGGGUGCCUUGAGUGGGCGAGAAGUACGCGGAAUGCGUGGUGUAGCGGUGAAAUGCAUAGAUAUCACGCAGAACUCCGAUCGCGAAGGCAAGUGUCCGGGGUGCAACUGACGCUGAGGCUCGAAAGUGCGGGUAUCAAACAGGAUUAGAUACCCGGGUAAG